rnacentral:rRNA from 1 species
GAAGGCCCAGACAGCCAGGAUGUUGGCUUAGAAGCAGCCAUCAUUUAAAGAAAGCGUAAUAGCUCACUGGUCGAGUCGGCCUGCGCGGAAGAUGUAACGGGGCUAAACCAUGCACCGAAGCUGCGGCAGCGACACUAUGUGUUGUUGGGUAGGGGAGCGUUCUGUAAGCCGUUGAAGGUGGCCUGUGAGGGUUGCUGGAGGUAUCAGAAGUGCGAAUGCUGACAUAAGUAACGAUAAUGCGGGUGAAAAACCCGCACGCCGGAAGACCAAGGGUUCCUGUCCAACGUUAAUCGGGGCAGGGUGAGUCGACCCCUAAGGCGAGGCCGAAAGGCGUAGUCGAUGGGAAACAGGUUAAUAUUCCUGUACUCGGUGUUACUGCGAAGGGGGGACGGAGAAGGCUAUGUUGGCCGGGCGACGGUUGUCCCGGUUUAAGCAUGUAGGCGGAUG